CGGGCGGCUGGAGGUGCUGCUACAGCGGGCGGCAAGAGAACGAUCAAGAGUCGUGAGACUGUAGGUGCGGGAGGCUGGAGGUGUGGGCACCUAUGCUCCUACAACAGGGCCAUGGGGCGCGACGGGCAGAAGCUGCAAGGGGCGGCUGGAGGACGAGCAGGACUCGCCGACAGCUGGAGGUGCCGGCUCGACGGGAAGGAGCCACGAGGCUGUAGGGGCGUCGGCGACUGGAGGUGCGGGCUCGAGGUGUAGGGGCGUCGACGACUGGAGGUGCGGGCUCGGGGUGUAGGGGCGCCGACGACUGGAGGUGCGGGCUCGAGGUGUA
rnacentral:lncRNA from 1 species